rnacentral:rRNA from 1 species
UACGAAGGGGGCUAGCGUUGUUCGGAAUUACUGGGCGUAAAGCGCACGUAGGCGGACUACUAAGUCAGGGGUGAAAUCCCGGGGCUCAACCCCGGAACUGCCUUUGAUACUGAUAGUCUCGAGUCCGGAAGAGGUGAGUGGAAUUCCGAGUGUAGAGGUGAAAUUCGUAGAUAUUCGGAGGAACACCAGUGGCGAAGGCGGCUCACUGGUCCGGUACUGACGCUGAGGUGCGAAAGCGUGGGGAGCAAACAGG